AAAAAAGGCUUCUGUCGUGAGUGGCACACGUAGGGUGCCUCACUUGCUCUUUGUGCAGAAUUGAUAUCAAAGAGAUUUCAGAAGCAUAAUUUUUGCUGAUUGGGCAGCUGGUGUUCGUUGAUCCCAGCACCCUU
rnacentral:snRNA from 1 species